UGAGGAAUAUUGGUCAAUGGGCGCGAGCCUGAACCAGCCAAGUCGCGUGAGGGAUGACGGCCCUACGGGGUUGUAAACCUCUUUUGUCGGGGGAGCAAAUUCCGUUACGUGUAACGGAGUCGAGAGUACCCGAAGAAAAAGCAUCGGCUAACUCCGUGCC
rnacentral:rRNA from 1 species